rnacentral:rRNA from 1 species
CAGCAGCCGCGGUAAUACGGAGGGAGCUAGCGUUAUUCGGAAUUACUGGGCGUAAAGCGCACGUAGGCGGCUUUGUAAGUUAGAGGUGAAAGCCUGGGGCUCAACUCCAGAAUUGCCUUUAAGACUGCAUCGUUUGAAUCCAGGAGAGGUGAGUGGAAUUCCGAGUGUAGAGGUGAAAUUCGUAGAUAUUCGGAAGAACACCAGUGGCGAAGGCGGCUCACUGGACUGGUAUUGACGCUGAGGUGCGAAAGCGUGGGGAGCAAACAGGAUUAGAUACCCCUGUAGUCCCUGUCUCUUAUAU